rnacentral:snoRNA from 1 species
ACCUUCCAGAUUCCUUAUACAUCAGACCCAAACAUUGGUCUGAAUGGUUAAAAGAGGAGGAAAAGUCGAACGGAAACCGACUUUUCUGACACAC